rnacentral:rRNA from 1 species
CCUACGGGAGGCAGCAGUGGGGAAUAUUGCACAAUGGGGGAAACCCUGAUGCAGCAACGCCGCGUGAGCGAUGAAGGCCUUCGGGUCGUAAAGCUCUGUCCUAAGGGAAGAAUACUGACGGUACCUAGAUAAGAAGCACCGGCUAACUACGUGCCAGCAGCCGCGGUAAUACGUAGGGUGCGAGCGUUGUCCGGAAUUACUGGGCGUAAAGGGCUCGUAGGUGGUUUGUCGCGUCGUCUGUGAAAUUCCGGGGCUUAACUCCGAGCGUGCAGGCGAUACGGGCAUAACUUGAGUACUGUAGGGGUAACUGGAAUUCCUAGUGUAGCGGUGAAAUGCGUAGAUAUUAGGAAGAACACCAGUGGCGAAGGCGGCUUUCUGGACUGUAACUGACGCUGAGGCACGAAAGCGUGGGGAGCGAACAGGAUUAGAUACCCGUGUAGUC